rnacentral:rRNA from 1 species
ACGAACGCUGGCGGCGUGCUUAACACAUGCAAGUCGAGCGGUAAGGCCCCUUCGGGGGUACACGAGCGGCGAACGGGUGAGUAACACGUGAGCAAUCUACCCAUCACAUCGGGAUAACUCCGGGAAACCGAAGCUAAUACCGAAUACGACCACCUCAGGCAUCUGAUGGUGGUGGAAAGUUCCGGCGGUGAUGGAUGAGCUCGCGGCCUAUCAGCUUGUUGGUGGGGUAACGGCCCACCAAGGCUUCGACGGGUAGCCGGCCUGAGAGGGUGACCGGCCACACUGGGACUGAGACACGGCCCAGACUCCUACGGGAGGCAGCAGUGGGGAAUAUUGGACAAUGGGCGAAAGCCUGAUCCAGCAACGCCGCGUGAGGGAUGACGGCCUUCGGGUUGUAAACCUCUUUCAGCAGGGACGAAGCGAAAGUGACGGUACCUGCAGAAGAAGCACCGGCCAACUACGUGCCAGCAGCCGCGGUAAUACGUAGGGUGCGAGCGUUGUCCGGAAUUAUUGGGCGUAAAGGGCUCGUAGGCGGUCUGUCGCGUCGGGAGUGAAAACUCAGGGCUUAACCCUGAGCCUGCUUCCGAUACGGGCAGACUAGAGGUAUGCAGGGGAGAAUGGAAUUCCUGGUGUAGCGGUGAAAUGCGCAGAUAUCAGGAGGAACACCGGUGGCGAAGGCGGUUCUCUGGGCA